UUAAGUGACUAAGCGUACACGGUGGAUGCCUUGGCAGUCAGAGGCGAUGAAAGACGUAGUAACUUGCGAUAAGCCCAGAUUAGGUAGUAACAACCAUUUGAGUCUGGGAUUUCUGAAUGGGGAAACCCACGUGCAUAAGCACGUAUCCUUACCUGAAUACAUAGGGUAAGGAGGCGAACCGGGGGAACUGAAACAUCUAAGUACCCCGAGAAAAAGAAAUCAACCGAGAUUCCGAAAGUAGCGGCGAGCGAAAUUGGACUAGCCCUUAAGCUUUACACGCGUUAGACGAACGGUCUGGAAAGUCCGACGAUACAGGGUGAUAGUCCCGUAGUUGACGACGUGUGUUCAGUGAAAUCGAGUAGGGCGGGACACGUGAUAUCCUGUCUGAAUAUGGGGGGACCAUCCUCCAAGGCUAAAUACUACUGACUGACCGAUAGUGAACCAGUACCGUGAGGGAAAGGCGAAAAGAACCCCUGUGAGGGGAGUGAAAUAGAACCUGAAACCGUGUACGUACAAGCAGUAGGAGCAGGCUUUGUCCUGUGACUGCGUACCUUUUGUAUAAUGGGUCAGCGACUUAUAUUCAGUGGCAAGGUUAACCAUCUAGGGGAGCCGUAGGGAAACCGAGUCUUAACUGGGCGUUCAGUCUCUGGAUAUAGACCCGAAACCAGGUGAUCUAGCCAUGGGCAGGUUGAAGGUUGAGUAACAUCAACUGGAGGACCGAACCGACUAAUGUUGAAAAAUUAGCGGAUGACUUGUGGCUAGGGGUGAAAGGCCAAUCAAACCUGGAGAUAGCUGGUUCUCCCCGAAAGCUAUUUAGGUAGCGCCUCGGACGAAUACUACUGGGGGUAGAGCACUGUUAAGGCUAGGGGGUCAUCCCGACUUACCAACCCUUUGCAAACUCCGAAUACCAGUAAGUACUAUCCGGGAGACACACGGCGGGUGCUAACGUCCGUCGUGGAGAGGGAAACAACCCAGACCGCCAGCUAAGGUCCCAAAUUACUACUAAGUGGGAAACGAUGUGGGAAGGCUCAGACAGCCAGGAUGUUGGCUUAGAAGCAGCCAUCAUUUAAAGAAAGCGUAAUAGCUCACUGGUCGAGUCGGCCUGCGCGGAAGAUGUAACGGGGCUAAGUAGUAAACCGAAGCUGCGGCAAUAUACUUUUGUAUAUUGGGUAGGGGAGCGUUCUGUAAGCGGUUGAAGGUGUGUGGUAACGCAUGCUGGACGUAUCAGAAGUGCGAAUGCUGACAUGAGUAACGAUAAAGGGGGUGAAAAACCUCCUCGCCGGAAGACCAAGGGUUCCUGUCCAACGUUAAUCGGGGCAGGGUAAGUCGACCCCUAAGGCGAGGCCGAAAGGCGUAGUCGAUGGGAAACGGGUUAAUAUUCCCGUACUUCUUACAAUUGCGAUGGGGGGACGGAGAAGGCUAGGUGGGCCUGGCGACGGUUGUCCAGGUUCAAGUGCGUAGGCUUGAGAGUUAGGUAAAUCCGGCUCUCUUUAAGGCUGAGACACGACGUCGAGCAUCUACGGAUGUGAAGUCAUUGAUGCCAUGCUUCCAGGAAAAGCCUCUAAGCUUCAGAUUGUAAGGAAUCGUACCCCAAACCGACACAGGUGGUCGGGUAGAGAAUACCAAGGCGCUUGAGAGAACUCGGGUGAAGGAACUAGGCAAAAUGGUACCGUAACUUCGGGAGAAGGUACGCUCUCGACGGUGAAGUCCCUUGCGGAUGGAGCUAUUGAGAGUCGCAGAUACCAGGUGGCUGCAACUGUUUAUUAAAAACACAGCACUGUGCAAAAUCGUAAGAUGACGUAUACGGUGUGACGCCUGCCCGGUGCCGGAAGGUUAAUUGAUGGGGUUAGACUUCGGUCGAAGCUCUUGAUCGAAGCCCCGGUAAACGGCGGCCGUAACUAUAACGGUCCUAAGGUAGCGAAAUUCCUUGUCGGGUAAGUUCCGACCUGCACGAAUGGCGUAAUGAUGGCCACGCUGUCUCCACCCGAGACUCAGUGAAAUUGAAAUCGCUGUGAAGAUGCAGUGUACCCGCGGCUAGACGGAAAGACCCCGUGAACCUUUACUACAGCUUGGCACUGAACAUUGACCCUACAUGUGUAGGAUAGGUGGGAGGCUUUGAAGCACGUACGCCAGUAUGUGUGGAGCCGUCCUUGAAAUACCACCCUUGUAGUGUUGAUGUUCUAACGUCGACCCCUAAUCGGGGUUGCGGACAGUGCCUGGUGGGUAGUUUGACUGGGGCGGUCUCCUCCCAAAGAGUAACGGAGGAGCACGAAGGUGGGCUAAUCACGGUUGGACAUCGUGAGGUUAGUGCAAUGGCAUAAGCCCGCUUGACUGCGAGAAUGACAAUUCGAGCAGGUGCGAAAGCAGGUCAUAGUGAUCCGGUGGUUCUGAAUGGAAGGGCCAUCGCUCAACGGAUAAAAGGUACUCCGGGGAUAACAGGCUGAUACCGCCCAAGAGUUCAUAUCGACGGCGGUGUUUGGCACCUCGAUGUCGGCUCAUCACAUCCUGGGGCUGAAGUCGGUCCCAAGGGUAUGGCUGUUCGCCAUUUAAAGUGGUACGCGAGCUGGGUUUAGAACGUCGUGAGACAGUUCGGUCCCUAUCUGCCGUGGGCGUUGGAAGAUUGAAGGGGGCUGCUCCUAGUACGAGAGGACCGGAGUGGACGAACCUCUGGUGUUCGGGUUGUGUCGCCAGACGCAUUGCCCGGUAGCUAAGUUCGGAAUCGAUAACCGCUGAAAGCAUCUAAGCGGGAAGCGAGCCCUGAGAUGAGUCUUCCCUGAUACUUUAAGUAUCCUAAAGGGUUGUCGGAGACUACGACGUUGAUAGGUCAGGUGUGUAAGUGCUGUGAGGCAUUGAGCUAACUGAUACUAAUUGCCCGUGAGGCUUAACCAU
rnacentral:rRNA from 1 species